rnacentral:snoRNA from 1 species
UCAGGUUGGAGGGGAGGUCAUCUACAUAUUACUAGAGUUUCUCAAAGUUCUGUGGACCACGAGGAGACAGAGCAUGUAGG